UCUGAUUCUCAGGAUGUGACGGUCCAUUUCCCUCGGAAAACUGUACUAAGCUAUGUCAUAAAUAUUGUGAUAACGGCGUUUGCCUCAUAGGAGAUGAUGGGAAGAAUUACUGUUGCUGCGAACCAGUACACCAAGAUGGAUCCACGAGGACUCAGGAGGUUGUUGAAAUGAUACAAACAUAGUAUCAUGCAACACCAGAACAUGUGGAAUAAAUAUGCUAGAUUUUGAUGUUGAUGUAGUUAAACAAAUAAUGAUAUAUUUUUGUCAAUCUGUUGUUGUGUUUGUCUUUUCUCUUUAGUAGUAUAUGGGUUAGUCUAGGAUGGCCUAGUUAUUGCACAUCUAAGUGACUCAAUCAAAAAAAAAGGGAAAAAUAAAAAAAAUAAAAUACUCUCACAAAUCUCCCCGCAAAAUUAAUUACAUAGGACUUAAAUAUGCAAUACUUAGAGCAUAUCUAGUGGCCCAUCGGUGCGGGACCUGUAUGUGGCCAUGGACCAGCCCUUCUAGCAGCCCGUCUUGAAGACUGUGUGAGAGGUCACCGAGGAUCGGGAGAAGUGUGCAGUCAUUCGUGCGCGGGGCAAGUCCCCGUCGAGUUCGCCCGCCCUUCGGAUGCCGAGGCUGACACCCGCUGGGCAGCCAGGGCCACAUGUGGUCACGUCAGAGCUUCCCACGGAGAGGCAUCGGUUUUCCGCACCGGUCACCAGUAGUCUCCGCCGUCAGAUGACAAGUGAUUAUUUAGCGUUUUUUGAGAGGCCAUCAGUGCCUGUGAAGGGUGAGCCGUCAUCACCGCAUUGCCGCAUGGACCGGACUCCGGCCAACAGUUACUGAAAUUCCCCUAUUUGACAAGAAAUAUUUUUAUUAUUUUUAGUCUAUACUCCCUCCGUUCCUUUAUUUAAGAGCUACUGUUUUCGGUACGGACCAAGGCACAUAAUUAUAGAUAAUUUAGGAUGAGCAAUGCUACACCUACGAAGGGUGUUACGUAAAUUUUACGUAAUUAGACAGUUGGCAGAUUGUGAUUGGGAUUAGAGGGAAGGGGGGCCCCACCCCCACUGAAAAUCAGGGGGGCGAGACGAUUAGUGAAGGAAAGUUACGUAACUUCCUUCGUAACCCUUCGUAGGUAUAAAAUUAUUGAUUUAGGACAAAAUUACUCUUAGCUAAUUCGUUGAUUAGCAAAAAGUAAAUCAUUUAGGCUACGAAGGAAGAGAUACACGCAAUCCAGAGAGAUAUGUUGUUUUAUUUAUUUUUCUCUACAAGGAGAGAUACAUGCAAUCGGGAAGAGAUACUUUCCUUUUUCUGGAGGGUUAGAAAUAGAAUUAUGUGGAAUUGAAAGAAAUACACCUUACAUUAUGAAAUUUUAUGAAAAAACAAUUACACAUUAUAUAAAGUAAUGGAGGAGUAUUACAUACCGUGUAAUGAGUUCUGAUCGAAAUAACUUCUGUGGGCGAAUGAAUUAAUGUUGCGUUUUGCAGUUCCCAAUUUGAUAGUGUCAUGUGUUUCUUAGUUGGGUCGGAUGAAUUUGUAUUCCCCAUCUGAUAAAGUUUGUUUCCAUUGGCCCCAUUUGCAUAUGGUUCACGAGCCUGUGUAAAAAAAAUACUCCCUCCGUUUCCUUAAUAUAAGGUGUAUUUUUUUGUGCACGGAGACCAAGGCACAGAAUUGAGGAGCAUUUUGGACAAAAAUACCCUUAACAAUUAGGUAGUUGGCAGCUUAACUAGCGACAACUAAAUAACCAAUAGUCUAAUAAAAUGGAACUAAAUCUCGCUACACCUGAAUAAAAUCAAUCGGUGGGAUAGGAGUGAGGGAGAAAUGUGAGUGCACGCAAUUAGGGCGAGAGAUUAUUUUUUACUACCUUUCUAUUGGGACCACGUAGUACUUUUAUCUAAGGCAGGUGCAUGCAUGAAAAACUGAAAAGAAAACAGAAAUACACCUUACAUUGUGAAAGUUUUCGGGAAAACUAAUACACCUUAUAUAAAGGAACGGGGGAAUUAUUUGUUAAACAACACUAGAUGACCCGUUGCGCCCAUGGCGCAAAAAGCAAGAGCGAGCCAAUUAUUCAAACCAUGUAUAUGUGACUGAUACUUAAUAGAUACUUGGUGCUAUGAUAGACUCACUUACCACUUACCACUUACGAAGCCUUUUAUCCUAAACAAGUUGGGGUAGGCUAGAUAUGCAACCCCUUCAUGAGGACUUCCCAGGAGGUCACCCAUCCUAGUACUACUCUCGCCCAAAUGAGUUUCAUACCCAAAAGACUAGCUAGUUUUUACGUUGGCUCGCCAAGCCUAUCACAACCCUUAGAUAUGAGACCCUUUCACGAGGACUUCCCAGGAGGUCACCCAUCCUAAUACUACUCUCGCUCAAAUGGGUUUCAUACCUAUGGGACUGGCUAGUUUUUACGUUGGCUCGCCAAGCCUAUCACAACCCUCCUCCUUUACCCGGGCUUGGGACCGGCUAUGCCUAGAAGACAUAGGCGGAGUUGGUGCUAUGAUAGACUAAAAGGAAGAAAUGAGAUCACCUGAUAAGUUGAUAUUUAGAUACGGUUGAUCCAUAUAAGAGAGGCAUAAGAUCAGUUUACGAAGCUUAUUUACAUUAUUUUUAUAAGCAAGGCACAUAGGUAGAGAUGCAUCAUAUAGACACCUUUGAAUAUGCUAUAUAUGAUUGGUAGUAUUAUGACAAAUAUGUAGCAGUACCAAUUCAACGGAGGGAAUACAAAAAUAUUAGGAAGUGCUUGACUACAUUUAGAAUACAUGACCACAAAAGGAUGUGUAGCACAUAUAUAGAUGAUUACGAAAGGGUUGAGUCAUAACGUGUUUUCUUGGCAGGUAGGUUAGAUGCAGCAAAGGUAAUUAGAAAGUGGCUUUCAUUCUUUCCAGGUGCUUUUCUACUUACUAGAAACAAAAAGGUUGGAAAUAUUGAUUGAUUACACAUGCAAGCAGUGAGCUAGCGUGGACGUGGACGGGUAUUCUCCUUAGCCACAGCUGCAGUGGCCACAAAGUGGGGACUUCAUGAGGGCAAAUGUUCUCUUUAAAACUCGGUACCAAAGCUCUAAUGCAGAGUGCUUUGCACCCUUGUUAGGACCAUCUGAGGUGGUGGAUCUGCAAGAGAAUCAACAAUAUGACAGGAAAUGCUAUCAAUUGCGAGCUCAACAUAUAUGGCUUAAUUUGCUCACGGUCUAAUAGAAUAAGAAAAUAAAAUCUUAGGUAAUAACCACCUGGUAUACAAAACAAAGGACAUUUAAAUCCUGAAACCUGAUCUAAUGCAAUACAUGUACUUCAUAUAUCCUGGAAAUAUAAACAGAAAAAGAACACGACUAAGUAAUAUACACCGUGCACGUUCAGAUAUUCAUGUUUAAAGGAAGUGCAAUGCAUACUGUGGAAAGGGGGGUCGUUUGUCCAGAUGACAAAAAUCUGUGACAUGCGGCACAGAGUUUUUAUAUUUCCAAGCCAAAGUAUCUUACAAAAAACAUUGGAUACAAUGCCCAUGAAGAACUAAGCAUCUAUAAUGGAAUGGGGCGAGAGAUGGACCCUUAAACACCUCAGUGCCCACAGUUAUCCCUGAAUGACAUGCAUUCAUUCUUCAUCCUAGAAGCACCGAUGCUGCACCAAGUUGCCAAACAUCAAUGAUAAAUCAAAUAUAUAUUUAUAAAAAAGACUAUAUAUGUUGAUCCGGCAAAAUAAUUAAAUGGGUGGUCAUUAUUAAUUAGGAAUGCUUCCUGGGCCUGCUAAUGAAUGGAAAGCUAUAGUACAUAAGAGUGUAAAUGCUACAAAAGAUUCUUUCUUUGGGAACAACAAAUGUCCACAAAUGGUAUGCUUUUUUCCUUCAACCUGCUUAUGUUCUGGUGUUCACGACAAGCAAUGGGCCUGCAUUUUCACCACUAGUGUGGUCACAUCUUGUAUCAGCUAUAGAGAAAAAUUACUGCAUGGUUAGGCUCAUGAUUGCCAAGAACAAUUACUACCUUGCUAGUGUGGCUAUCUACCUGCAACGGACCGGAGAAUAUUCUUGUUGUUUCUGUUUAUCCAGGAACUUCAGGUAUUGCAUUUGUGAUAGUUAGAUAUUAAUAACCACAUAAGAAUAAAACACAAAAAUAAUAUCUUGGCUGUCAGAAGAACAACCAAGAGGGCAAUGGCAUGCUGAUUUUGAUUCUUUAUUAGGUGAUUCAAGAGAUUCCUAAAGAAUGAAUACCAAACAGUUAGAAAACAAUAAAACAUAUAAGAUGAGUAUAAAAGAACAAACAAAAGGUACCUCUUGUGGCAGUGUCUUGGCAUGCCAUCGAUUGGUGAAGGUGGCACUGGAGUCCAAACAAUUCCAUCUCUCUGCAUGAUUGCAAUAUAUCCUUUCAGCUGAACUGAGCAUGUUUCAGAAGCCCAGGAUAUCUGGAAAAUAAACUGAAGAACACAGGCAGAAUGGAUAUUAAAGCGCAGACAGAUAAACCUACAGUAGCACAUCUAGAAGACGUUGCAAUUAAUAAAGAAACCCGAACAUCCAUCUUCUGUGUCAGACCAAGGUAUCAUAAUGAGCAGGAAAACGAUUUUAGUUGCACUCAAAAAAAAAAUUAUUUGGUGGAAGAACUUCGUACGGUGAGUAUUGUUCCGUUCUUUUACGGUGAUUGGGGAGUUACGAUUCGUAAUUUCAUGUAACUCCACCUCUGAUUAUUUCUGGCCAUUAGAUCUGGGAAAAUCAUUUUUAAGUUUUUUUUUCUAAAAGGGUAUAAUAGUACUUGAUUCGCUCGUCCGUUCCCGUUCCUCAGGGCACGUCCCCACGCACGAAUGAAUCAGUUUACUCUUGCAUAGCCGCCGCCGCCACCGCCACACAUCCCACUCAUAGACGGGUAGCUCAGUGCGACGUUUGGAUCAUACCCACGCGGCGAUCCCGAUACAGGGGCGAGAAGAGGCAGUCCGCGACCUUGUUGUCGCUCCUACCGGCCGGCCGGUAGUACUGCAGGCCCUACGUCGCGGCCCAUCUAAUCCGUGUGCCGGCCGGCCCUAUACGCCAUCAUCGGGAGCUUCGUCGGCAAGGCGCGGAAUUGCUCCGGACUCUUCCCUGACCCCUGAGGCCAGACUGCCAUCCAGAUUCGUCUCUCCCACAGCCCCUUUUCUUUACCUCAUCUUCGGUUCUUGAUUGAUCUAUGUUGACUUCAAAUCUGAGUAAUGGAGGACUGGAAAACACCACAAUUUGUUAUUUUUUUCAGGAAUUAAUCAGUCCCCAGUUCAGUUCCUGCUCUGCAUUUUCUUGUUUUGGGAUUCAGUAUAAAUCCUUGCUCACAAGGAUUGCUUGCACGUCUAAUUAAUUGAACUGCUGCUGUCCACCAUACGUCGGAUACCCUACUGCUUCAGCCAGUGCUGCCGGCGACCUUCCCGCCCACUAAAGGUAGGUGCAUACAUGUUGUGUAGGAGAUGAUGGCACUAAACUUUUAGCUACAAGGGGUUUCGUGGUAGGAAACUAUUGCGCUUGUGGUCCUAUUAUCAAGUAAUCCCAGGCGAACAGUAUUUUAUUCUCUGUAACUAAGCAUGUUUUCGUGGUAGGAUGAUGGAAACAGUCCCGAUUGUGUGGGCAUAUGCAUAUGAUUCGUGUACAUAUACAUAACAGUCUGAACUGGCCUUGCCAUCGAUCUAAUCUAAAAAUUUUGUAUCAUGCGCUGUUAGGUACUCCUAUUUUUGUGGUAGUAUUAUUUUCUGCAAGUAUUUCAUUCUCUGUAACUAAGCAUGUUUUACAUGCUUCCAGUCAUUUGCUAGUUUGUGGUACAAUUGUGUAUUUGCUGAUGGAAGUUCAAAGGGAGAAAAUUUUGUUAAAUAGACAAUGACUCAAACAUGCCCUUUUCGAAGUGUGGCUAUUUAGUUUGUUAGGUCUCAGGUUAAAAUGUUCAAUAUCUCAGCUUACAAUGAAUUCUGCUAGUGAUUACAGUUUACUUACCAUGAAGCCUGAUCAAUGCAUCUAUAUCCUUCAUAUCAUAAAUUAUGUAAUCAUGCUUUCUACAAAUUGUGUAGUGCUCAAAGAUAAUAAGACUGGACCAUGAAAGUGGGUAGAGAGCAAAUGAAAUCUUGUCAUCACAAUGUUAUACUUCAGUAUGACCGUCCUUUAAUGCUGUUUGCUAUUCUUAGGGAAUGGGGAUCUAUCUUUUGUUCAAAAUAUCCACUCCUAUUGAUUUUUAUUGAGUGGAACUUAAUAGAAUUGUACGUCAGGGAUUUAUAAGGUUGCGACUGUCUUUUUAUUCUAGCAAAGUUGUUGCCUCAUUUAUUUAGGAAAAUGUUACUAAUACUUUUGACCAAAAGAAGUAGGACUAAUGUUUGCUCACAUGGUCUGUGAUUGUGGGUUGCGGUGCAGGGAGUUGUUUCAACGACGGCAUUUUGAGGUCAUGUACAUAUAAAGAUGGGAAAUACUGUUGGUGAGGUGGAACUGAUCUGAAUGGGAUGUGUUUGGGAUCAUACCAGGUUUCCCUGCUGCUAUCUCUGCAGAGACGGCCGAGCGAGACCGCAGUUUCUUGUUCUUGCAGAUGCAUUCUUGGAUCAUUUCCUCUGACUAUAGUGAAUGCCUAAUCUUACGGUAAUAUGAGCAGCAUUGUUUUGAUGAACUAGGCUGUGCGGUUUUCCAUCCCUGUAGCUUGAUUGCAUUCUUCAAAUGUGGCAAAGUAACGAGUUGAAUUUUUUUUAUUUGUGGGUUUGUGUCUGUGUAUUGGGGGCUGUAUUGCUUGCCUUGCGAUUUACAGAAAUUUAGACGGAUGCAUGACCGUGUUGGGCGUUGUAUUGCUGGGGCUCAUGAAGAUUGAUAAAGCUGGGGCUGCUAGAUUGCAUGCCUAUUCUUGUCAUUGCCUCGUUACAUAUUUUGCUGGUGCAUAAUACAUUUAAAUCAUAAUUGCGAUAUACGAAGAAUAGUGUUUGGUGGGUAAGUACAGUUCUGUCAUAGAUUCGAUCCCUGUUCUUCGAAAGAAAAACAUUCCAAAAAAUUGGUCAACUUGUCUCAAAACGAGGACCACAAGGUAGAAGUGCAGAUUGUUGCCAGUGUGAUAUAAGGUGAUUUCUAUUAGUGAGCUAUCUACACGUCUACUUAGGCAACCAUCUUGCAUUCAUGGACAGAAUAUAGUGUAAGGACAAGUUUGUCCAGGCAACACCAUUUUCACAUGGAAGUUUAAAGAGAGAAACACAAGCAAAGUAGUUCACUUCAAAAGAAUGAAGAACUCGACAAAUAAUGUAAAUUCAUCCCAAGAUACGAAAGAUAGAUAAAAAUUCCAACCUCUUGGAGAACAAAAUCGUAAAGUAAAUGUCACUAAGGAUGCCCUUUGUCCCAACACGAGUGAAAACACACAGAAGACAAUCACAGAGCCUACUAUUUUAGCCUAUCGGGCCCACAAGUACCGAUCUUGCUCGUUCGGGAUAACUAAUCUUAGUUGUCUGGGUCCACUGUACCGAUCUUGGUCGUUCGAGCCCAUAAGUAUUGAUCUUAGUUGUCCGGACCCACAAGUACCGGUCUUACUCGUUCGGACUCGCUAUUAUCUUAGUUGUUCGGGCCCACAAGUACCGAUCUUAGUCGUUCGGGCCCUCAAUUAUCGAUCUUAGUCAGCUGGACCCACAAGUACCAGCCUUACUCAUUUGGGCUCACUAGUAUUUAUCUGUCAUUUAGGCCCACACGUACUGAUCUUAGUUUUCUGGGUCAACAAAUAUCGAUCUGAGUCAUUCUGGCCCUCAAGUAUAGUGGCCUUAGUCCUCUAGACCCACAAGUACCAAUGUUAGUUGCCCAGACGACCCGUACUGGUAGUAUUGUGUCAAGACACAUUGCAAUGCUAGUAGAGGGACCAGACGAUCCGCCCUGCUAGUUGUGUCGAGACUACUUGUUAAGGUAGUUGUGGGUCUGAAUGGUUGGUAAUGCUAGUUGUCGGUCUAGACAACCCAUACUAGUAGUUCUGGGUUCGACGACCCAUAGUGCUAGUAGUGGGAUCGGACGACCAAUAGUGCUAGUUGUGGGACCGAACGACCCAUGGUUGGUGCAUGUGGACCCAGACAAGCCAUACUUGAAGUUCUAAGUUUGGACGACCCAUAGUGGUGAUUGUAUACCCGGACGACCCAUACUUACAGUUCUGGAUUCAAACGACCCAUAUCUAGUAGUGGGAUCGAACGACCCAUACUGCUAGUUGUGUGCCCACAAGUACCACUAUGGGUCGGGCCACCAAUACCACAUCGUGCCCCUUUACGUCACUCAGACUGCCAAUGACAUUGCUAGUCACGCUGGGUCGUCCAGGCCAACAAAUACCACUAUGAAUCACUCUGGUUCAUAAGGCCCACACAUACCACUACGGAUCACGGUGAAUCGUCCGAUGUCAAAAGUACCGCUGUCUGAGUCAUCCUAGCUCACAAGUAGACUUGUCUUCAGGUGUUUAACGUUCACUAGUUCAGGCUCCUCGGAGCAUGCCUUGCCCACUUCAUGUAUGAAACUAUGUUCUCAUGUAUGUUGAUAGUAUUAGUCUGAACAAACGCCACUUCAAUCCGAUCUCAUGUAUGUUGAUAGCAUUAGUCUGAACAAACGCCACUUCAAUUCGAGCAUCAGCGUAGAGAUUUGAUCCCUGUAAACAUGCCAUAAUGCAAUUUCUUUCACUCGAUAAACAUAAUUGGUUCCUAGAUUUCUGUCCGGACUCUGAAAUUUAUUGUACAUGACAUAUGUUCGCAAGAAAUGAAAGUAAACUGCAUGAAAUGGAUUGACCAUAAUAUGACAUUGUCCAUGACAUACAAUAUGAACUGUGAAACUCCCUUCAGUGACAUUAUAAUGUACAUUAUUUACGCCCCGCAAGUUGCCACUGGAUCAAAAGCGUUCUCCAAGUAUUUGAAACAAGAAGUUUGCCCUAUAUGCAAACUAGGAACUGAUGGAUAGUUAUAAAAAAAUAUGGACUGGAGAUUGAAGAAUUGAUGGAAGAAGCAGCUGUUGGUUCCUGCUUGCAUGUGAUUUACUCCUCCUUGAAAAACAGAGCAUGGUCAGUAAAGCAAUUUGAAAAAAAAGGAUAGUUUUGUUUCAAGGAGAUUAACAACAUGCACCCACCUUUUUUUGCUGCUAGCACAUUUGGAAGAUUGCAACAACGUGGCCUUGAAAGUUGCUGACNNNNNNNNNNNNNNNNNNNNNNNNNNNNNNNNNNNNNNNNNNNNNNNNNNNNNNNNNNNNNNNNNNNNNNNNNNNNNNNNNNNNNNNNNNNNNNNNNNNNNNNNNNNNNNNNNNNNNNNNNNNNNNNNNNNNNNNNNNNNNNNNNNNNNNNNNNNNNNNNNNNNNNNNNNNNNNNNNNNNNNNNNNNNNNNNNNNNNNNNNNNNNNNNNNNNNNNNNNNNNNNNNNNNNNCCCCCCUACAUUGUGACUUUACUAAGAUGAUGCCAAUCUUUGAAACUCUCCUUUUUUGCCAACCUAUUUUAAUGUAAAGACAAAUCAAAUAAGCCUUGUAAAUUCAAGGGGAUGAAGUACAUUGAUUAGGAUACAUCAGUUAUCGUUGAGCAAAGAUGUCUACAAAAUUAUGGAUACUAAGAAAAAGACAUUCAUUGAAAUUGGCAUCUGGGACUAUAAGUGAAAGACAUUUAAUACUUCGGUGGAACUCGACAUGUGGCUAUGAUACAAUUUUUUUGGGGGGAGGUUGUGGCUAUGAAACAUUAUUGGAAAUAAUGUAUGGGGUUAUGACAUAAAAAAAGCGUUCACUUCCACUAGUUUUUUGACCCAAACAUGUAGGAAUUUCUUCCCCAGAGCAUUUUUCUAGCUUUUUUAGAACGGGAAAGCUAAUUUCCUGCCGUCCGUAAUUCUGCAAGAGAUACGCACGCUUCGAACAUCAUUGGAUCACGAUCGGACGCUCCUGCUCGUCUGCCACUCUGCCUUUCCUUUCCGGUUUAUUUCUCGCAAAAAAGAGCAGCCCCGUGGGAGUCGAAGCAGCAACCUGAAGGUCGUAUCAUAGUGCUAGCAGCCACCAGGCCACAGCAUGUGUUCCGAUUUGGUUGGCACAAGUUGUCAUGAAAUCACCAUCGGAAGUACUCUGCUCUGUUCAUGUACGAUUUAACUAUGACACUGACUUUGAACGGUGCUGAACCAAAAAACGAAAAAAAAC
rnacentral:lncRNA from 1 species